rnacentral:lncRNA from 1 species
UGUCAACCCUAAAGGAAAGUAGGAAUAAUCAUAAAGGUGUCAACACUAAAGGAAAGUAGGAAUAACCAUAAAGGUGUCAACGAUAAAGAAAAGUUCUAAUGGUGUUUAAACCAAACGGAUAUGAAAAGAGUAGCCACAGAGAAUAGCUUGCAGACCUGACAAUGAAUUUACUAGAAUUACACUAAACUCUAUGUGUAAGACCCCAAUUUUGACCCUAAGAUCCCUCAUGUAAUUCCAUCAUAAGCAUUAGCAUUGAGAUCAUACCUUGACA